CCGCUGCCACAGAAGCAGCUACCCCGCCUGGACGAGUGCACAAAUUUGGGUCGUUCCUUAGCUCAGCACCGAUCACUCCUUCUGCGUCUUUGCGGGUCACCGGCUUAUCAGAUGGCUACAAAAUUGGGUGGUUCUGGUUUUCAAAUAUUUGGUGCCUGGGGUGAUACAAAGUCCGACCUCGCCUAUCGCCGAACGGAAGAGCUUCGAGUCCAAGGUCGGAUGGUCUCGACCUAAUGGCUAGUGCCCUAGGGGCAGUACAAGGUCCGACCUCGCCUAUCAUCGAACGGAAGAGCUUCGAAUCCAAGGUCAGAUGACCUUGACCUAAUGGCUAGUGCCCUAGGGGCGGUAAGAGGUUCGCAAUUGGUUUUCUUCUUUCGUUUGAGAUUCUCGCUAUUUGGUCAGCAAAAUAGAAGAUUAACAGGGAGGCUUCUAUGUAAAUGACGUUUUUAGCCCUGCUAAAAAGGAGAAGUAAGGGGUUAACAAAUUAGCCUGAUAAUAGGCCGAAAGGACAUUUAUACUAAAAAACGACAAUCAUGGACCUAGAUUGCAAGUUUUAAAACUCGUGGUGCAAACCUGAUAGUGCCACUA